rnacentral:tRNA from 1 species
GCACAGUGGUGCUGUUGGUAGCACUGUCACCUCACAGCCAGAUGGUCCUGGGUUGGAAUCCCAGCCUGGGCC